AGAAUCAACGCUGGCGGCGUGCCUAACACAUGCAAGUCGAACGCGAAAGUCCCGAAAGGGAUAAGUAGAGUGGCAAACGGGUGAGUAACACGUGGGUGACCUGCCUUCGAGCGGGGGAUAACGUCCCGAAAGGGACGCUAAUACCGCAUGACAUCCUGCCUUUGAAGAGGCGGAGAUCAAAGCCGGGAUCGCAAGACCUGGCACUCGAAGAGGGGCCCGCGCCUGAUUAGCUAGUUGGUGGGUAAUGGCUCACCAAGGCGACGAUCAGUA
rnacentral:rRNA from 1 species